GUGAGCCGUAUGAUGGGCAACUAUCUCCUGCGGUUCAGUGAGGACUCAGCAGUUAGAUAGUACCCCCUUGGUUUCAGGGCAGUUAAUAGCCCAUCCUUUGUUGCGGGGGCCCUUUCACUCUAU
rnacentral:ncRNA from 1 species